rfam:Macrostomum lignano uti_cns_0002035, whole genome shotgun sequence.
UUUGCAGGUACGGCGACAUUGUCCCGGCAACCAUAAUGGGGAAAAUAGUGGGCGGAGUUUGCUCUCUAUCCGGCGUGCUGGUAAUAGCCCUGCCCGUGCCAGUUAUUGUCAGCAAU